GUCAGGAUGGCCGAGCGGUCUAAGACACUGCGUUCAGGUCGCAUUCCACUCUUGUGUGCGUGUGUUCGAAUCCCACUUCUGACA